GACGAACGCUGGCGGCGUGCUUAACACAUGCAAGUCGAACGGAAAGGCCCUGCUUUUGUGGGGUGCUCGAGUGGCGAACGGGUGAGUAACACGUGAGUAACCUGCCCUUGACUUUGGGAUAACUUCAGGAAACUGGGGCUAAUACCGGAUAGGAGCUCCUGCUGCAUGGUGAGGGUUGGAAAGUUUCGGCGGUUGGGGAUGGACUCGCGGCUUAUCAGCUUGUUGGUGGGGUAGUGGCUUACCAAGGCUUUGACGGGUAGCCGGCCUGAGAGGGUGACCGGCCACAUUGGGACUGCGAUACGGCCCAGACUCCUACGGGAGGCAGCAGUGGGGAAUAUUGCACAAUGGGCGGAAGCCUGAUGCAGCAACGCCGCGUGCGGGAUGACGGCCUUCGGGUUGUAAACCGCUUUCGCCUGUGACGAAGCGUGAGUGACGGUAAUGGGUAAAGAAGCACCGGCUAACUACGUG
rnacentral:rRNA from 1 species